rnacentral:lncRNA from 1 species
UUAAAGGGGCACUAGCUGUCAAAUUCAUGGUCACCGAUUUGACUCAAAUUCUCAUAUUUGACUUAUAACAAUGUAAAACAUUUAUCCAAACUAUCAAAAGUCUAAAAUAAACAGUUUACAGAGCAUGGGGUAGAUAAUAUAUAGGUUCGUUUCGUGUGUAUUUUAGUCCAGACGCCAUCUAAUUACCUAUCGAUUUGACCUCAGAUGACCAUAUAAGCGAUGUAAACAUAAAUAAAGAUUUUUAUAGGUCUGUUUGAUUUUAUUUUAUAGAUUAAAAAUAGAUGUUUCUCAUUGUUUUUAACCGUAUAAGAAUGAUUUUAUGUGCAUCGAAUUAGUAAUCAAAUGAUUUACCGUAGUUUCACUUUCAUUGUUGACAUUCUUUUUCUUUAAAUAACCAGUACACGUACAAUGCAUGCGUUGUCAAUCUCUAGCUAGGGGUUAAAUUGAAGUUCACAUGAAUACGGAUUUAAAGAGGUCGACUUGCAAGUGAAUUACUAAUUAUCA